UACGGAGGGGGCUAGCGUUGUUCGGAAUUAUUGGGCGUAAAGCGCGUGUAGGCGGCUUUGCAAGUCGGGUGUGAAAGCCCUCGGCUCAACCGAGGAAGUGCGCCCGAAACUGCAGAGCUUGAGUACCGGAGAGGAUGGCGGAAUUCCCCAAGUAGAGGUGAAAUUCGUAGAUAUGGGGAGGAACACCGGUGGCGAAGGCGGCCAUCUGGACGGAUACUGACGCUGAGACGCGAAAGCGUGGGUAGCAAACAGG
rnacentral:rRNA from 1 species